rnacentral:rRNA from 1 species
UACAGAGGUUGCAAGCGUUAAUCGGAAUUACUGGGCGUAAAGCGCGCGUAGGCGGCAAGUUAAGUCGCUUGUGAAAGCCCUGGGCUCAACCUAGGAAUUGCAUUCGAUACUGGCUCGCUCGAGUUUGGUAGAGGAGAGUGGAAUUCCCGGUGUAGCGGUGAAAUGCGUAGAUAUCGGGAGGAACAUCAGUGGCGAAGGCGGCUCUCUGGACCAAAACUGACGCUGAGGCGCGACAGCGUGGGGAGCAAACAGG